rnacentral:rRNA from 1 species
UUCGUAGGCGGUUUGUCGCGUCGUUUGUGAAAACCCGGGGCUCAACUUCGGGCUUGCAGGCGAUACGGGCAGACUUGAGUGUUUCAGGGGAGACUGGAAUUCCUGGUGUAGCGGUGAAAUGCGCAGAUAUCAGGAGGAACGCCGGUGGCGAAGGCGGGUCUCUGGGAAACAACUGGCGCUGAGGAACGAAAGCGUGGGUAGCAAACA